UCGACCUAGUUGCCAGCAUUCAGUUGGGCACUCUAAGGUGACUGCCGGCUAAAAGUCGGAGGAAGGUGGGGAGUGACGUCAAAUCAUCAUGCCCCUUAUGACCUGGGCUACACACGUGCUACAAUGGUUGGUACAACGAGUUGCGAGUCGGUGACGGCGAGCUAAUCUCUUAAAGCCAAUCUCAGUUCGGAUUGUAGGCUGCAACUCGCCUACAUGAAGUCGGAAUCGCUAGUAAUCGCGGAUCAGCACGCCGCGGUGAAUACGUUCCCGGGCCUU
rnacentral:rRNA from 1 species